AUGCUUUCAGUUUUCAAGAAAGAAGACACCAUUGUUGCCAAAGGUUUUGGUAAUUUGAGAGAUACAAACAGAACCUGCUAAGGCCAUCAAACCUAUUGAUCGGAAGUCAGUCCAUCAGAUAUGCUCUGGGCCAGUGGUACUGAGUCUAAGCACUGCAGUGAAGGAGUUAGUAGAAAACAGUCUGGAUGCUGGUGCCACUAAUA
rnacentral:lncRNA from 1 species